rnacentral:piRNA from 1 species
UAGAUACUUACUAAAAGAGUCGAGCUCC